GAAACGCGAAAUGUAAUGUGAAUUGCAGAAUUAUAGUGAAUCAUCGAAUCUUUGAACGCAUCUUGCGCCCCGUGGCAUUCCGCGGGGCAUGCCUGUCUGAGUGUCCGUCCCCUCUCAACCCUCGUCGAUGGCUAGCGCCGUCGGCGGGCGGCUUGGAACGUGGACCUGGUCGAUGUCGACCGGUCUUAAUUGCAGCAGGUUGACAGUUCAUUAGCGGCUUGACCGGGUGUUGUAGAGUCGCCUCACUCGGGACGCUGAUCGAUCAGCCGACACCAAUCCAUUUGGACACUCCAUAUGAAUUAGACCUCAGAUCAGGUAGGACUACCCGCUGAACUUAA
rnacentral:misc_RNA from 1 species